rnacentral:rRNA from 1 species
UAUGGCUCAGAACGAACGCUGGUAGCGUGGAUUAGGCAUGCAAGUCGGACGGGAUCCGGAAGGUAGCAAUAUCGGCCGGUGAGAGUGGCGGACUGGGGAGGAACACGUGGGCAACCUGCCUUUGAGUGGGGGAAAACCGCUGGAAACGGCGGCUAAUACCGCAUGUGGCGUCCGAGGACAUCCUCGGAGCGCGAAAGGGGGCCGCAAGGCUCCCGCUCGGGAGAGGGGCCCGCGCACCAUCAGCUAGUUGGCGGGGUAACGGCCCACCAAGGCCUACGGUUAGCUGGUCUGAGAGGAUGACCAGCCCCACUGGGACUGAGACACUGCCCAGACUCCUACGGGAGGCUGCAGUCGAGGAUCAUUUGCAAUGGGCGCAAGCCUGACAAUGCGACGCUGACCGUGGAGGAUGAAGGCCUUCGGGUCGUAAACUCCUGUCAUGGGGGAACAGGCGAGGGGGCCCAACACGUCCCCUAGUUGAGUGUACCCCAAGAGGAAGGGACGGCUAACUCUGUGCCAGCAGCCGC